GAUGAACGCUGGCGGCGUGCCUAAUACAUGCAAGUCGAGCGAACAGACGAGGAGCUUGCUCCUCUGAUGUUAGCGGCGGACGGGUGAGUAACACGUGGAUAACCUACCUAUAAGACUGGGAUAACUUCGGGAAACCGGAGCUAAUACCGGAUAACAUGUUGAACCGCAUGGUUCAACAGUGAAAGACGGUCUUGCUGUCACUUAUAGAUGGAUCCGCGCCGCAUUAGCUAGUUGGUAAGGUAACGGCUUACCAAGGCAACGAUGCGUAGCCGACCUGAGAGGGUGAUCGGCCACACUGGAACUGAGACACGGUCCAGACUCCUACGGGAGGCAGCAGUAGGGAAUCUUCCGCAAAGGGCGAAAGCCUGACGGAGCAACGCCGCGUGAGUGAAGAAGGUCUUCGGGUCGUAAAACUCUGUUAUUAGGGAAGAACAAAUGUGUAAGUAACUAUGCACGUCUUGACGGUACCUAAUCAGAAAGCCACGGCUAACUACGUG
rnacentral:rRNA from 1 species